GGCGAACGGGUGAGUAGCGCAUCGGAACGUGCCCAGUAGUGGGGGAUAGCUCGGCGAAAGCCGGAUUAAUACCGCAUACGACCCAUGGGUGAAAGCGGGGGACCGCAAGGCCUCGCGCUAUUGGAGCGGCCGAUGCCCGAUUAGCUAGUUGGUGGGGUAAAGGCUCACCAAGGCAACGAUCGGUAGCUGGUCUGAGAGGACGACCAGCCACACUGGGACUGAGACACGGCCCAGACUCCUACGGGAGGCAGCAGUGGGGAAUUUUGGACAAUGGGGGAAACCCUGAUCCAGCCAUGCCGCGUGCGGGAAGAAGGCCUUCGGGUUGUAAACCGCUUUUGGCAGGAACGAAACGGCGCGCGCUAAUACCGCGCGCUAAUGACGGUACCUGCAGAAUAAGCACCGGCUAACUACGUGCCAGCAGCCGCGGUAAUACGUAGGGUGCAAGCGUUAAUCGGAAUUACUGGGCGUAAAGCGUACGCAGGCGGCUGUGC
rnacentral:rRNA from 1 species